rnacentral:rRNA from 1 species
UGAAAAACUCCGGUGGUAUAAGAUGGACCCGCGUUGGAUUAGCUUGUUGGUGAGGUAACGGCUCAACAAGGCGACGAUCCAUAGCCGGCCUGAGAGGUUGAACGGCCACAUUGGGACUGAGACACGGCCCAGACUCCUACGGGAGGCAGCAGUGGGGAAUAUUGCACAAUGGGGGAAACCCUGAUGCAGCGACGCCGCGUGAAGGAAGAAGUAUCUCGGUAUGUAAACUUCUAUCAGCAGGGAAGAUAGUGACGGUACCUGACUAAGAAGCCCCGGCUAACUACGUGCCAGCAGCCGCGGUAAUACGUAGGGGGCAAGCGUUAUCCGGAUUUACUGGGUGUAAAGGGAGCGUAGACGGACUGGCAAGUCUGAUGUGAAAGGCGGGGGCUCAACCCCUGGACUGCAUUGGAAACUGUUAGUCUUGAGUGCCGGAGAGGUAAGCGGAAUUCCUAGUGUAGCGGUGAAAUGCGUAGAUAUUAGGAGGAACACCAGUGGCG